GACGAACCGUGCGAACGUUAUUCGGAUUCACUGGGCUUAAAGGGCGCGUAGGCGGACGAGCAAGUCCGGGGUGAAAUCUUUCGGCUUAACCGGAAAAGUGCCUGGGAAACUGCUCGUCUUUGAGGGAGGUAGGGGCCUGUGGAACUCCGGUGGAGCGGUGGAAAUGCGUUGAUAUCGGAAGGAACGCCGGUGGCGAAAGCGACGGGCUGGCCCUCCACUGACGCUGAGGCGCGAAAGCCAGGGGAGCGAACGGG
rnacentral:rRNA from 1 species